rnacentral:rRNA from 1 species
UACGGGGGGGGCAAGCGUUGUUCGGAAUUACUGGGCGUAAAGGGCUCGUAGGCGGCCAACUAAGUCAGACGUGAAAUCCCUCGGCUUAACCGGGGAACUGCGUCUGAUACUGGAUGGCUUGAAUCCGGGAGAGGGAUGCGGAAUUCCAGGUGUAGCGGUGAAAUGCGUAGAUAUCUGGAGGAACACCGGUGGCGAAGGCGGCAUCCUGGACCGGCAUUGACGCUGAGGUGCGAAAGCGUGGGGAGCAAACAGG